rnacentral:lncRNA from 1 species
UAUCACAACACUUCCUGUUUUGUGCUUCAAAACAGUCCUGAAACACUUCAGAUGCUGAGAGAACUCACUAAUCAGGACUGGCCUUGAAGGAGCUGAAAGUGUCAGCAUUCCUUUCAAACCCACUCUCAUCUCCUCCUCAGUGCAGGGCUAUCUCUCUACUCUGCUGUUUGUUUGUGUUGGUUGUAAGAGGCGAGCUAGAGAAAUAUCACAUUACUGAUCUCAUGUGGAAACAUUUUGUCCUGAAAGAAAAAAAACUAAAAAAAAAUCCAAAUGUAGCCUUUUUGCAACAUUUCCCAACAUUGAAAUGUCAUUAAAACCUGUACACUGUAGAUUUCGGCUCUUGCUCAUGAAUAUUCAUACAUGCAAACAUAUUGCCUCUGAUUGGUUAACAGCACUGCGAGGCAGCGAGACA